rnacentral:rRNA from 1 species
ACGGAAGGCAGCAGUGGGGAAUAUUGGGCAAUGGGGGAAACCCUGACCCAGCAACGCCGCGUGAAGGAAGAAGGCCUUCGGGUUGUAAACUUCUUUUCCCAGGGCCGAUAAUGACGAUACCUGGAGAAAAAGCAACGGCUAACUACGUGCCAGCAGCCGCGGUAAUCCGUAGGUUGCAAGCGUUGUCCGGAUUUACUGGGUGUAAAGGGCGUGUAGGCGGAGCUGCAAGUCAGAUGUGAAAUCCCGGGGCUCAACCCCGGAACUGCAUUGGAAACUGUAGCCCUUGAGUAUCGGAGAGGCAAGCGGAAUUCCUAGUGUAGCGGUGAAAUGCGUAGAUAUUAGGAGGAACACCAGUGGCGAAGGCGGCUUGCUGGACGACAACUGACGCUGAGGCGCGAAAGCGUGGGGAGCAAACAGGAUUAGAUACCCUGGUA